rnacentral:rRNA from 1 species
AGUGAACGCUGGCGGUAGGCCUAACACAUGCAAGUCGAACGGCAGCACAGUAAGAGCUUGCUCUUACGGGUGGCGAGUGGCGGACGGGUGAGGAAUACAUCGGAAUCUACUUUUUCGUGGGGGAUAACGUAGGGAAACUUACGCUAAUACCGCAUACGACCUACGGGUGAAAUCAGGUGAUCUUCGGACCUUGCGCGAUUGAAUGAGCCGAUGUCGGAUUAGCUAGUUGGCGGGGUAAAGGCCCACCAAGGCGACGAUCCGUAGCUGGUCUGAGAGGAUGAUAAGCCACAGUGGAACUGAGAAACGGUACAGACACCUACGGGAGGCAGCAGUGGGGAAUAUUGGAAAAGGGGCGAAAGACUGAGCCAGACAUACCGCGUGGGUGAAGAAGGCCUGCGGGUUGUAAAGCCCUUUUGUUGGGAAAGAAAAGAAGCAGGUUAAUACCCCGCUGUUCUGACGGUACCCAAAGAAUAAGCACCGGCUAACUUCGU